rnacentral:rRNA from 1 species
CAACUUUGGCCGGUGG